UAUCCGUAGGUGAACCUGCGGAAGGAUCAUUAUUGUAUAACCGAGGUGCGAGGGCUGUCGCUGACCCGAAAGGUCGUGCACGCCCGAGUGCCCUCACACACAUCCAUCUCACCCCUAUGUGCACCACCGCGUGGGUCCCCCUUUGGCUUGUUCGGAGGGGGGCUUACGUUUUCACACAAACUUUGUAUGUAGUGUAGAAUGUAUUUUUUGUUUUUGCGAUCACGCAAUCAAUACAACUUUCAACAACGGAUCUCUUGGCUCUC
rnacentral:misc_RNA from 1 species